rnacentral:rRNA from 1 species
UACGUAGGAUGCGAGCGUUAUCCGGAAUUACUGGGUGUAAAGGGAGCGCAGGCGGGACUGCAAGUUGGAUGUGAAAUACCGCAGCUUAACUGCGGAGCUGCAUCCAAAACUGUAGUUCUUGAGUGGAGUAGAGGCAAGCGGAAUUCCGAGUGUAGCGGUGAAAUGCGUAGAUAUUCGGAGGAACACCAGUGGCGAAGGCGGCUUGCUGGGCUCUAACUGACGCUGAGGCUCGAAAGUGUGGGGAGCAAACAGG